rnacentral:rRNA from 1 species
UACGGAGGGUGCUAGCGUUGUUCGGAAUCACUGGGCGUAAAGGGCGUGUAGGCGGUCUGUUAAGUCUGAUGUGAAAUCCCCUCGCUCAACGAGGGAACUGCGUCGGAUACUGGCAGACUUGAGUACCGGAGAGGAAGGUGGAAUUCCCGGUGUAGCGGUGAAAUGCGUAGAUAUCGGAAGGAACAUCAGUGGCGAAAGCGACUUCCUGGUCCAGCAUCGACGUUCAGGCACGGAAAGCGUGGGGGAGCAAACAGG